AACAUACUACUCCCUCCGUUCCAGAUUAAUUAACUCAAAUUUUUCUAGAUAGACAAAGCUGAGACAAUUAGUUUGGGUUAGAGCCUCAGAGGGAAUGGUACUUCUUUGCUUCUUACGUGUAUGCCUAGUUACCAUUCAUCCUUAGUCGCUCUUCAGAUUAUGAGUAUUGAGAAGUGGGGAGUGGACUUUCAGAGCAGGUGCUUGGUGAGCACCCGUAUUCAGACCGUGUAUAUUGCAUCAAGAUCUGUGCAAGUUCUUUUUUUCCCCUCUCAAACAAUUUCUCAUUUUUGUAUCUCUCACACCACACAUUGUUUGAACUCAAAAAUUUGCAGAUCACUUAAACAGUUAAACAUAACAAAAAGAAAAGGACAAAAUUUAUAUUUGCACAAAAAAAUUCCGAACUAUUUUUCCUCCAUUCUAUUUGUUAUUUUUGAGUGAGUGUCUAAUCGAAAUAUUAUAUAAUUUGAGAGAUAAAAAAAGAAAAGGACAAAAAAUGAAAAGGUGCGUGGAGCGCACCUGCUCCACCACGCUUUUCCCUAUAGAGAAUCCGAACGUUUCAAAAAAAAAAAAGUAUUGAGAAUCCGCCGUGAAGAGGUCAGGCCAUGCCAGCCAUAGUUAGCCCUCGGAAUGAUCCCAUGGAAUUUAGAUGAUCAGUUCUAACUAAUGGAGCCAAGCUCAAAGCAAACACUUAUAGAAAUCCCGAGAAAUAUGCUAUACGAAGGCAUACAAAAAGUAUGGCUCGAUUGCACAACUGCAAGAGAAUUUGAACUCAAUCCUUAAUGAUCCAACAAAGGCCACCACUCUUCCCCUCCCUUAUCCUUUUCUCUACAGUACUGAGAGAGGCGAAAAGGAGGGCGACUCGCUUCCUUCCAUCCGCCGCCGCUGAAGGCGGGGUCUUCCUCCCCCUCCUCGCGUCGCCACGGCGACCGUGGGAUGGGGGGGAAGACUCGCUGAUCUUCGGCCGGCGUGUAGAUAGGUGUAGGUUAGGGUUUGCCGGCGGUGUAUGGUCGGUGCCAUCGCCGCCGCCGCGAAUAAUAUCUUCCGGGCCACUGCCUCGAGGUCGCCGUUGUGCGGAAUCGAGGAGCCGCGGAUUAGUUUCUCUGCUGUUCGGUUUGGAUGGAGGAGUUAGGUUUCCUGAGCGAGAUCGCCGUGGCGGCGGCGGGGAUCUCGUUGGUGGAUUUUGGUCUCUGUCUUCGUCCGCGUCGCGCCGGCGUUUCCUCCAGCGCCGUCGGGAAGACUGGAGUUGUACAGGAGUUGUGGCCGCCGGCCAGGUGUGGCUGGUGCUGGUCUUGAAGGUCCCGAGAUCCGUGUGGAGUUUGUGGCUCGCGGCAGGCAGAUCCGGCGUCGACCCUCGGCGUGGUCGACAGGGUGCGCCGUAUCUGGAGAUCGACGACGAGCUCGGGGCGAGGCCCCGACCGACGAGCCCCAGCGACAAGGUGAGCACGUUCUGUGCUCCGCAAUUGAGGUUCACAAAGCCGUUGAGCGGCAAUGGAGCUGCGUCGACCUCAGGUGUGAUGGCCUCUGUCUCUCUUCCUCUCGGUGUUAGCCAUGGCGUCGCCGGAGUUGAGCGGCGGAUGGGAUCUGGUGCAGGGUGCCCCAAGCACUUCUUUGUAAUUUCUCAGUUUUUCGGGGUGUUUUCUGCAAAGUGUACGGGUCUGCGUGUCCUUCUGGACCGUUCCGUUCGGUGUGUACGUGUUGUGUAUUUGUCUUUGAUCUAAUGAAAUGCGUAUACAUCUUCAAAAAAAAAUCCUUAAUGAUCCAACAAAGUCGAGAAAACAUGUAAAAACAUCAUACAAUAGUACAUUCGUGCAAAAGGUAGUACCAAACCAAUGGGUUGGUUGAUCUGCGGAAUGGUAAGUCAAUCCAUCCACUGAAAGUUCUUAACCAUAACAACAUCCUUCAUUUGUGCUGCAAAGAUGGACAUAACAUGCCAAUGCAGGGGGUCACACCUGAUGAAAAUUACUCCCUCUGUUACAUAAUUCUUGUCAUGAUUUUAGAUCAAAUUAAACCAUGACAAGAAUUAUGGAACGGAGGGAGUAGUUAAUAACUGAGAGGGAAGAUCAGGAUGCUCCCACAUCGCAAUACAGCUGAAAUAGAGGGGAAGGAGGCCAAACAGGGGAGAACAAAACAAAAAAGAGGUACCCAAGACAUAGGAAAUACAAGAACUUUUCUGUACUUAACAAGGAAUAUUUAAUCAUGGCAUAGGAGAUCAUCAAGCAAUUCUAACUUGGCAUGGUGCACUCCAAGGAACCCAUAAUCAUCAGGCAAUUCUAACAUGAAGCCUUAUCUCCAGCCAGCCUAAAACUUUGUUAAUUUGAUGGCUCACUUUCGUUGUUUCAUGUAAUUCCAAAUGUUCAUGUGCCAAAGAACAUAUAAAUGAAUUAACGAACACAUUGUUGAGUACCCAACUCCAGAAUAUGAUGCUUCACUUAUAAUUUGAAUACACCACAAGAUUUUUACUCUGUACAUUCCUUUUCAGGAUUAUUGUAUUCCAGCCACCUGGUGUGUAUAUAGUGAUAAAGAUUGAUAAUAUUGUUUUCUGCAUUUCUGCAUUGAAGGUUUAUCUGUGGCUAUCGUCUUAAACAAGCACCAGUGAUAUCAGUGAACCAUGGUACUUCUGCUAGGGAGUGAUAUGAGCUCAUGCUUCCUUGCUGACUCUCUAUUCAUGUCGAUUUGAUGUCAGGUGCAGGUCAUCAUAUGCUCACAAUCAGAAGACUGGAUAGCAGCGAAGCUCUCAGACGUUCAUCCAUCUUGCUACCCUCUAUUCAGUAUGGCAUGGUUACCCAGCAGUAAUGGAAGAUUAACGUACAUGCCUUGGACCACAAAUAAGCUGGCGUCUGAAGAUGAUGUAUUCUGCAACCUACUGUUGUCCUCUUCGCAUGGAGUUGGCACACUCCUGUCUCUCGGGCAUUUUAACAUGAAAAACUUUCCUAUUAUGCCUUCCAUGGAUAAUUGGACAUCGGAUGUUGCAAGGUAUCCUGGAUGUACCUGAAUUACUGCUUUAUUGUAUGCAUGCUUUUGCUGUUGCAGUUUAAGAGGCAGCAGAGCUGCAUUUACACCCAUCUGUGAAUGGCAGGUAAGGUUGCAUAUCCAAGCAGAUUUGCCUAAAGUUUCUCGCAUGGUGGCAAAGCCAUAUCAUGAUCAAGAAAGAGGUGAUCAAGAGAGACUAGCUGCUUUGGGGAGUACAGACCAGGAAGGCAUGGUUGCUCAGCAGUAAUGGAAGAUGAAGACUGCUGUACGUACGUAUCCUGGACCACAUCUCCACAUGUAAUCUGCUUGCAUACCCACUCAUCUCCUGCUUGGAGCUACAGGUACUUCUACUGCAUCCAUCAUGGCUUCUGUUUUGUUCAUGUGAUAUCGGUGCGUGAGCUGACGUCUGAAGAUGAUGUAUUGUGCAACCUACUGUUGUCAUAGGCGUGAAUCAUCCGCCAGCUUUCAAAAGAAAAUCACACCAACUUCGCCAUGGAAAACUGGGCAUUGGAUGCUGCUCUAUGUACGGGACUUGCAGCUUGAUUGUGUGCAUGCGUUUUCAGUUGCAGUUGCAACAUAAGAGUUAACCAAAAACAAAAAGAAAACCACCAAAAGCUCCAUCUGCAUAAUAGCAUUCAUCUCCGAUGAAUGGUGUUACAAACCGUCCACAAUCAAAACUAGGAGACCUUCCUGAAUGCGUUACUCCUGUGUUACUUUGCAUCCCAUAAAUGGCCGAUCAGUUUGGGUAGGUCUCACUAGCCUAACAUGUUGACCUUGCAGGCAGGUAACAUAGCGUUGUUAGGCAGGUUUGCAUAAAGUUCUUCUUGCUAUGCUGAAGGCGGCUAGUAAUAAGGUCAAUAAAUUAGCAAAGCUAUCAUGAUCAAGGCAGAGGCUUUUUUUGCGGGGGGAUGUUUCAUACUACUACAUUAUUAGUGGAAAACAAUGCGUGAUUCAAAUUUUGUGUCCACCCUACCUACAUUUUCUUCAGACUCCCACAGCGUUAAACCCAGUUCAAUACCGAUGCUGGACCAUUUUUCAUUUGCUCCGGAUCUAUUUUCCACGGGGACCGCUCUGAUUCUGCAGACUGGCCUUUACCCUGCACAUUUCUUUUGUAUUACGUGGUUUAAUGCAGAGGGACCAUUUUGCAACAAGAGUUGAUCCGUCAACUUUAGCUGUGUUCUUAAGAAAUAAGCAAUCAACACUCUGUAAAAAAAAGAGCAAUCAACAUCUGCGAUGGAUAUGGGUGUGUGCGUGGUUACUCGAGAGAAUGACAACGAUUGUGCCGCAUUAUUGAGAAAAGGUGUGUUUUGAUCGUUAUCGCCACCCGACUUGACUAAUACAGAAUGAAAUGUUUAACUUACCUUGUUCAUUACUCUUACAUCAGUAGUUUGGCACCCUGAAUAUUGUGGUUGCUUAGAGGUGCCCAUCCCCUAAACACGCGGGCAAAUUGAUCAAGAGAAGUUUGGCCUCAGAAGACACAGAAUGAUUGGUCGCUCCAAAAUCUUUGGAGCGCAGAGGACAUAUCUAGUGCUACGGUAGCAUGCUCUGAAGGGCAGGCAUGUAUAGCCAAUUAGCUCAUUCGGCGCUACCGUACUGGCCAUCCGAGGUGAGGUC